rnacentral:lncRNA from 1 species
AUUGUUGCCCUUCACUCCCAGGGUCUUUGAGUGGACUAGUGUGGAGGUUUACCUUUUUUCCUUCAGACAGGUUAUCUCAGUUACUUUAAUAUUGCUCUGAUAAAACAUAUGACCAAGGCAACUUACAAAAUAAAGCCUUUAAUUGGGCUUAUGACUUAAGAGCAUUGGAGUCUACAUUGAGUUCCAGGGCAAUAGAGCUACAUAGUAAGACUGUAUCAAUCAAUCAAUAAAUAGGACUACAUAGUAAGACUGUAUCAAUCAAUCAGUAGAUGAAGAGAAAGAAAGAAAGAAAGAAAGAAAGAAAGAAAGAAAGAAAGAAAGGAAGGAAGGAAGGAAGGAAGGAAGGAAGGAAGGAAGGGGAAGAACAAAACAAGCUUAGAUAGGAAGAACAGGAUAGAAUGAAUGACAAAUGCUUGAAAAAUGUUUUAGCUGUACUUUUAGAAGCAUACUCAAUCCACACAGAAGUAAAAAUGUUGUUCCUUAUGAGUAGUACCUAGCAUUAUUACAUAUGUACUUGCCUGUGUCCUUGGGCAAGUAUUUGUUUAUUUGUUGUUUUUAUACUGUUGCUGGUGUAAAUUACUGAGCAGUUAGCAGAAACAUUCCUGCAAAUGGGAUAGUCUCUCUGAUCUGAAUAAUGAUAUAGUUUAUGUAAAAGGAUUUACUUGGUUUAAAAAUAAAUAUAGAGUCUGUGCUUUAAAUGUCAAUAGAAGAUAAUUUCUUUUUUCCCUAGAUGUGAGGUAGAAAAUCGAUACCAGGGAAACCCUCUCAAAGGAACAUGCUACUGUAAGUUUUUGUAAUUGUUUCUAGAGAGUAAUUGAACAAAACGACAUUGCUUUUUUUUUUUACCAUUGUCUGAGAAUGAUAAAUGCUUGGGGGAUGAAGCAAAUACUCAUAGCCAUGCCCCUGACUUGGUGAACACUGUUCUAACUGAGGCAUGGUCUCUGCUGGUCAUCCAGAGCAGUUAGCAGGGGUGCUGUCCUGCCUGUCCUUGUUCAGCUCCCGCGGAGGCGUGCUCAUUCACCAUUGCCCAGUGUAGCUUAUCAUGUCCAAUCUUCAGACAGCCAGGAAGGAGUUUCUAAGAUAGAGGUGCGUUCCACCAUUCUCUCUGCAGCUGAUUUGUGCUCACAAACAAGUAAAUAAAACACCAAAUUAAUACCUUGGUGUGAAAGUGAAUCUGGUAAGCUUACAGCUUUAUCAUAAAUAUAUUUUUUGUCUAUGAGAAUCUACAUAGUAGGUUCUAGACUAUAG